rnacentral:tRNA from 1 species
GCCCAGCUGGCUCAGUCAGAAGAGCAUCUGACUCUUGAUCUCAAGAUUGUGAUUUUGAGCCCCAUGUUGGGUG